AGUUCGAUUCUGGCUCAGGAUGAACGCUGGCGGCAUGCCUAAUACAUGCAAGUCGAACGGAGUGAAGCCUUCGGGUUUCAUUCAGUGGCGAACGGGUGAGUAAUACGCAGGGAACCUGGCCAUGGCAGGGGGAUACACUCUGGAAACGGAGCAUAAGACCCCAUAGGCAGUAAGGCGGCAUCGCCUUACUGUUAAAGAAAGCUGAAAGGCUUUGGCGAUGGAUGGACCUGCGGUGCAUUAGCUUGUUGGUGAGGCAACGGCUUACCAAGGCGAUGAUGCAUAGCCGGCCUGAGAGGGCGGACGGCCACACUGGGACUGAGACACGGCCCAGACUCCUGCGGGAGGCAGCAGUAGGGAAUUUUCGUCAAUGGGCGCAAGCCUGAACGAGCAAUGCCGCGUGAGUGAGGAAGGUCUUCGGACUGUAAAGCUCUGUUGCCGGGGAAAAAGGGGAAAUGCAGGAAAUGGCAUUUCAUGGAUGGUACCCGGCCAGAAAGCCACGGCUAACUACGUGCCAGCAGCCGCGGUAAUACGUAGGUGGCGAGCGUUAUCCGGAAUGAUUGGGCGUAAAGGGUGCGCAGACGGUCUGUUAAGUCUGAAGGCAAAGGGAUGAGCUCAACUCAUUUAUGAUUCAGAAACUGGCAGACUUGAGGACAGGAGAGGGCGGUGGAACUCCAUGUGUAGCGGUAAAAUGCGCAGAGAUAUGGAAGAACACCAGUGGCGAAGGCGGCCGCCUGGCCUGUGACUGACGCUGAGGCACGAAAGCGUGGGGAGCAAAUAGGAUUAGAUACCCUAGUAGUCCACGCCGUAAACGAUGAGGAGCAGGUGUUGGGAGUGAAAUCUCAGUGCCGAAGCCAACGCAGUGACUCCUCCGCCUGGGGAGUAUGCACGCAAGUGUGAAACUCAAAGGAAUUGACGGGGGCCCGCACAAGCGGUGGAGUAUGUGGUUAAUUCGAAGCAACGCGAAGAACCUUACCAGGUUUUGACAUCGGAUGCGAAGGUGCAGAGAUGCGCUAGAGGCUAUCAUCCAGACAGGUGGUGCAUGGUUGUCGUCAGCUCGUGUCGUGAGAUGUUCAGUUAAGUCUGGCAACGAGCGCAACCCCCGUGGUAUGUUACUAACGCUUAGGGCGAGGACUCAUAUCAGACUGCCGGUGACAAACCGGAGGAAGGCGGGGAUGACGUCAAAUCAUCAUGCCCCUUAUGACCUGGGCUACACACGUACUACAAUGGCGUCUACAGAGGGAAGCGACCCUGAGAAGGGAAGCGAAACCGGAAAAGGGCGUCCCAGUUCGGAUUGAAGUCUGCAACCCGACUUCAUGAAGAUGGAAUCGCUAGUAAUCGCGGAUCAGCAUGCCGCGGUGAAUACGUUCCCGGGCCUUGUACACACCGCCCGUCAAACCAUGGAAGCCGGCAACGCCCGAAGCCGGUGGCAUAACCUUUUAGGAGUGAGCCGUCGAAGGCGGGGCCGAUGACUGGGGUUAAGUCGUAACAAGGUACCC
rnacentral:rRNA from 1 species